GCGGGCUGGAACCUCUCGGGGUUACAGCCUUGCUGAAUUAUUCACCCUUGUCUUUUGCGUACUUCUUGUUUCCUUGGUGGGUUCGCCCACCACUAGGACAAACAUAAACCUUUUGUAAUUGCAAUCAGCGUCAGUAACAAAUUAAUAAUUACAACUUUCAACAACGGAUCUCUUGGUUCUGGCAUCGAUGAAGAACGCAGCGAAAUGCGAUAAGUAGUGUGAAUUGCAGAAUUCAGUGAAUCAUCGAAUCUUUGAACGCACAUUGCGCCCUUUGGUAUUCCAAAGGGCAUGCCUGUUCGAGCGUCAUUUGUACCCUCAAGCUUUGCUUGGUGUUGGGCGUCUUGUCUCUAGCUUUGCUGGAGACUCGCCUUAAAGUAAUUGGCAGCCGGCCUACUGGUUUCGGAGCGCAGCACAAGUCGCACUCUCUAUCAGCAAAGGUCUAGCAUCCAUUAAGCCUUUUUUUCAACUUUUGACCUCGGAUCAGGUAGGGAUACCCGCUGAACUUAAGCAUAUCAAUAAGCGGAGGAAAGA
rnacentral:rRNA from 1 species